rnacentral:lncRNA from 1 species
ACCCAAAAUGAAGGAGAAGAGAUGGAAGCAAUGUUGCAUGAACUAGAACCUCGCGGAGAACUUGUUUAUCAUGAAGAGACAAACGAAGGCUUGGAUAUGACAAAGGAAGUGGAAGAGCCAAAACUAGAGCCAAAUUUGAAGUAUUUGUUCUUGGGUGAUGACUGUACUAAACCGGUGGUCGUUAGUAAUACAUUGUCCACAAAAGAGGAAGACAAAUUGAUUCAAGUGCUGAAAAAGAAGGAGGUUGUCAAACUAUU